GGCUUUAUAUUCAAGAAUGAUAAUAGAAUGCAAUUCUAUUGGAGUAGUAGGACUACUAAGGCUU
rnacentral:tRNA from 2 species